UCGCCUGUUUAUCAAAAACAUGUCCUCUUGGUGUGAAUUUGAGGUCUGACCUGCCCACUGAAUUGAUUUGAAGGGCCGCGGUAUUUUGACCGUGCAAAGGUAGCAUAAUCAUUAGUCUUUUAAUUGAAGGCUAGAAUGAAUGGUUGGACGAGGUGCUGGCUGUCUCACAAUAAUUGAGAAUAGAAUUUAACUUUUAAGUCAAAAGGCUUAAAUGAAGUUAAAGGACGAGAAGACCCUAUAGAGCUUUAUACUAUGCUGCUUAUUAAAUAUGCAGGUGUUUUGUUUUAGUAAGUUAAUUGGUAUUUUAUUGGGGUGAUAGGAAGAUAUAAUAAACUCUUUUUGUAAUUAGAACCAUUGAUGUAUGAAUUUAUGAUCCGUUAGUAACGAUUAUAAGGUUAAGUUACCUUAGGGAUAACAGCGUAAUCUUUUUUGAGAGUUCUUAUCGACAAAAAGGGUUGCGACCUCGAUGUUGGAUUAAGGUUAAUUUUGGGUGCAGAUGUUCAAAAUUUAGGUCUGUUCGACCUUUAAACCCUUACAUGAUCUGAGUUCAAACCGGA
rnacentral:rRNA from 1 species